CCACUACUGGGCUUCAGAAGAAAGCUGCGAAGUUCUUUCCUUCUCAUCCCCUAACCCCAUUUCAUUUCUCUCAUAGAAGGAGGAGUGCAGAUCUGAAACUGGAUUCUGGGAUGGUAACCGAGCAACAUGUUCUAGGGAUGAAACUUUCAAAAGAGGUAUAGUAUUAAACACAGAACAGAGGGGACUCAAGAUGGCGCUGUGAGAACAACCCAGGAUUGGAGCCCGCAUUGAAUCCGCAAACGACUCUACCAAGGAAAAUCAAGUCUCUUCUUAGAUGGCACACUCAGAAGCAAUAACAAUAUUUUACAAAUGACAAUAGAUAUCUGAUUACUGCUAAAAUUUAAUAUAUACACUUGAUGGAAAAAUAAAUUUCAUAACAUCCUAUACUAAUGUAAUCCAUACACUGAAUAAAAACUCUAUCUUCAACUUUGUAUUAAGAUAGAUAUGCCAGAAUCUCAAGACAAUAAAAUCUCACUAGAGAGUAUCAUAUACCAGAACCUUAAAUUGCUUUCAGCAUCUCCACAGUGAUUCAGUGCAUUAAUGUUAAAUGAUUAGUUAAAAGCAUUUAAAUCAACCUUCUGUUCUUGAAAUUUUCCAUGAAUGAAAACAUCCAUUUAAAAAGAUCUUGCAAAAAUGAUUCCAUUGAAAAGAAAAAGAGA